rnacentral:RNase_P_RNA from 1 species
ACGGUUUUGCAGGCGAUCGCAGUGCCCCAACUCGAGACGAAUAUCGCAAGAUGUAAGUUUUGAAUGGCAUUGAGGAAAGUCCGGACUCCAUAGGGCAGCGCAGGGGUUAACGACCCCCCACCGCAAGGUGAGGAACAGUGGAACAGAGAGAAUGUCCGGGGCAUUGAUCCUUUGAUCGGGAACGGGAGAUCAGAGGGGAGUUGCCGGAGUGAAAACAGCCAAACUCUGCGCGGAGCAAGAACAAAUAGGGAGGCGUUUGAGUGCGGCCCGCACGAAGCUUCCGGGUAGGUUCGCUUGAGGCUCGCGGUAACGCGAGUCCCAGAGGAAUGGUGGCCUCCCUGAAAUCGAUGUCGAUCGAUUUCGGGAAGACAGAAUCCGGCUUAACGCAAAACCCUCGUC